CUUUGUAAAAAAAAAAAAAAACACAAAACUUUCUAUGUCAGACUCUCAGGAUAAAGAAACUUCAUUCUGAAAAAAAGACAGAAAGAAGGGAAGAAAGGGGGGGAAAAAGAAAGGAAAGAAAAAGAAAGUAAGAAAGGUGGAAGAAAAGCCCUAAUUUAAAAGCAUUUUGAUUAUGCUGGGUUUUUUUUUACACACUUUCAAAACAGAAUGUAUUGCAUUUUGCUAUUAAAGACAUGAUGUAUUUUUGUAUAUUUAUUAAUCAUCUCCAUCUCCAAAGAUUUGACUUUUAUAACAGAAAUAACAGUCUAGGCCUAAACUUUUUUUUUAAAUAUUCAACUAUGUUUUAAAUUGUUGCAGGGUGGAGCUAGCUUCAAAUUUUCAUUCUUUUUCCCUGCAUUUCCUAUGGAAUGCUAUUUUGUAUUUCUGAGAUGCUCGCAACCAUAGUUCUCUAAAUGCCUCACACUAUUAACUACCAUGAUUCUACAAAACACUGUGAUUUUUUUGAAACUUACUUUACAAAUCCCUCCUUAUCUUCAUUGACUUAUAGAAUCAUAUAAUCUUUUGAUUAUAUCAUUCUAUAUCUAGUCCAGCUUCCCUGCAAUGAACAGGGACACCCACAGCUAGAUCAGGUUUCUCAGAGCCUGGUCCAGCCUGAUUUUGAAUGUCUCCAGGAACAGGACUUCUACCACCUCUCUGAGUGAUCUGUUCCAAUGCCUCAACAUUCUUAUUGUAAAAAUUUUUUCCUUAUAUCCAAUCUAAAUUUUCUCUCCUUUAUUUUAAAACCAUUUUCCUUUGUCCUGUCGCGACAAACCCUGCUAAAGAGUCUGCCCUUUUCUUUCUUAUAGCCCCUUUUUAGAUAUUGAAAGGCCAUUAUCAAGUCUCCUCAGAGCCUUCUCUUCUCCAGGCUGAACAGCCCCAGCUCUCUCAGCCCAUUCUCACAGGGAAGGUGUUUCAUUGCUUGGAUCAUUUUUUUUGGCCCUCCUCUGGAUGCACUUCCUCAGGUCUAUGUCUGUCCUGAGGAUCCCACAUCUGGACAUAAUACAGAGGCCUCACCAGCACAGAGUAGAGGAGCAGGAUCACCUCCCUCAACCUGCUGAUCAUGUUUCCUUUGAUGCAACUGUAUGGGAACAAUUGAAUCACAUCCUGAACCUCUGAUUUUUCACCUGAGGAAAGGACUGAGUCAGCUGCGGGAGCACAGGUGAAGGCAAUUCAGCUGUGUGACCAGUAGGGGUGGAGCCUGGCUCCACCUCUCCUAGACCCCACUUAAGGGCUGACUGGGGGAAGGAUCUCUUUCUGGAGAUUGCUCCAUUUGGAGUUUUUUAUUGUGAGCCUAGAUCCUUGGAUACAGGAAAUGACGAAGCGGACACACCAACCCAAGUUUGAUGGACUGAGGAUUCACCAUCUGAGAACAUCACCCAUUGAUUACAUCAGAAGCUAUGGCAUGCUGGACAAAAGACAAUAUGGGCAGC
ensembl:lncRNA